UCAAAAUACACGAAGAAAGAAUUGGCAGUUUGAAAAUACCUGUUUUGGGGUGCAGAAUAAAAUAUUCAUCAAACCUUACCUCCUGAUCUCCCAACAUCUAUUUAUGAAAACCUACCAUCAAGACUCUUAAGAUGACAACAAAAGUUCCCAGGAGAAAACUGCUCACUCUCAGAGUCCUCUGAAGAACUGGGAUGUGUGUACACCAAAAUU